rnacentral:lncRNA from 1 species
GUCGCGGAGUCUCCUGAACACUGCUCCUUCCUCCCUGGUCGUCUGAACCCGCAAACCCGGCUCGGGAGAGCGAGCACUCCCUGCUCCCUCUGGGCUUUGCGACCGGCCAUGUCCCAGAGCUCACCGUCCUGCCCGACCCCACGUGACAUGGGGACAGGGGCCACUCACCGCGAUCAUCACCGUGUCUUCUCCCUGGAAUUUGGCGACGUACUUAUCGCCGCGGUUCACUUCAGAUUCGUUGAGAGGUCUGAAGCGACACAUCACUUUGAUGUUGCACUCCGCCGGGUCCGCCAUCUUUCUGGAAGCCGGGACCGCAGGCCGGGCGCCUCUUCAAGCCGCUCAGUCUUGGGGGUGGGGUAGAAGUUGGGCUGCACAUGUAGAGGUCAGAGGACAACUUUCGGAAGUCAACUCUCUGCUGCUACAGUCUCCUGCCUCCAGAUCUGUUUGAGUUCCUGUCCAGACUUCCUUUACUGUUAAACAGUGCUGUGAAAGUGUAAGCUGAAUAAAAAACCCUUUCUUCCCU